rnacentral:tRNA from 1 species
GGGGAGGUGGCUCAGCGGUUAAGAGCACUGGCUGCUCUUCCAGAGGUCCUGAGUUCAAUUCCCAGCAACCACA